AGAGUUUGAUCCUGGCUCAGAUUGAACGCUGGCGGCAGGCCUAACACAUGCAAGUCGAACGGUAACAGGAAGUGCUUGCACUUCGCUGACGAGUGGCGGACGGGUGAGUAAUGCUUGGGAACUUGCCUUUGCGAGGGGGAUAACAGUUGGAAACGACUGCUAAUACCGCAUAAUGUCUACGGACCAAACGGGGCUUAGGCUCCGGCGCAAAGAGAGGCCCAAGUGAGAUUAGCUAGUUGGUAAGGUAAAGGCUUACCAAGGCAACGAUCUCUAGCUGUUCUGAGAGGAAGAUCAGCCACACUGGGACUGAGACACGGCCCAGACUCCUACGGGAGGCAGCAGUGGGGAAUAUUGCACAAUGGGGGAAACCCUGAUGCAGCCAUGCCGCGUGUGUGAAGAAGGCCUUCGGGUUGUAAAGCACUUUCAGUUGUGAGGAAAAGUUAGUAGUUAAUACCUGCUAGCCGUGACGUUAACAACAGAAGAAGCACCGGCUAACUCCGUGCCAGCAGCCGCGGUAAUACGGAGGGUGCGAGCGUUAAUCGGAAUUACUGGGCGUAAAGCGCACGCAGGCGGUUUGUUAAGCUAGAUGUGAAAGCCCCGGGCUCAACCUGGGAUGGUCAUUUAGAACUGGCAGACUAGAGUCUUGGAGAGGGGAGUGGAAUUCCAGGUGUAGCGGUGAAAUGCGUAGAUAUCUGGAGGAACAUCAGUGGCGAAGGCGACUCCCUGGCCAAAGACUGACGCUCAUGUGCGAAAGUGUGGGUAGCGAACAGGAUUAGAUACCCUGGUAGUCCACACCGUAAACGCUGUCUACUAGCUGUUUGUGACUUUAAGUCGUGAGUAGCGAAGCUAACGCGCUAAGUAGACCGCCUGGGGAGUACGGCCGCAAGGUUAAAACUCAAAUGAAUUGACGGGGGCCCGCACAAGCGGUGGAGCAUGUGGUUUAAUUCGAUGCAACGCGAAGAACCUUACCUACACUUGACAUGCAGAGAACUUUCUAGAGAUAGAUUGGUGCCUUCGGGAACUCUGACACAGGUGCUGCAUGGCUGUCGUCAGCUCGUG
rnacentral:rRNA from 1 species